UACGGAGGGUGCAAGCGUUAUCCGGAUUCACUGGGUUUAAAGGGAGCGUAGGUGGGUCGGUAAGUCAGUGGUGAAAUCUUCGAGCUUAACUCGGAAACUGCCAUUGAUACUAUCGAUCUUGAAUUAUCUGGAGGUAAGCGGAAUAUGUCAUGUAGCGGUGAAAUGCUUAGAUAUGACAUAGAACACCCAUUGCGAAGGCAGCUUACUACGGAUACAUUGACACUGAGGCUCGAAAGCGUGGGGAUCAAACAGG
rnacentral:rRNA from 1 species